GGCGGGCCUUUUUCUGAGGGAGAGACAGAGACGUUGGCGCGGCGCGGCGAGACUGCUGAGCCCGAGGAAACGGGAAGAGAGGAGAAAAGCAAAACGAAGCUCGGAACCACGAGACGACGGAGAGGAUGGGCUUCAGCGUCCUGCUCUCACCGCCGCCCCUUCCGCUCCCGAGCGCCACCGCUGCGGCCGACUUGUACCUAAUAUUCGGCGGCCACGAUCGCCGCCGCCGCCGCCCGCUGGAACACGGCUGCCGCUGCGGCCGCCCCCCGGAGACGGCGCUCGGCGGCAGCUCAGGCCGCCGCGGCUCGUACGAUGACGACGGGACGGCUCCAGGCUCCCUCGGCCUCGACGGCAGCAGCACGUCCUCCUCGGUCCGUCGGACGGGGAGUGCAAAACCAAGAUAUCAAGUAACUUCGAAAGAAGAGGACACACAAAAUGCAGACCGCGAGGGGUGGCAAUAUAGUACAGAAGGCCUUUCAAAGAGCAUGUCCAAGUCAAGGUACAUCAAAGUAUUUGGGGUUGAUUUGUCCCCUGAUAAUGUGGCUGUUGCUAUUGUUUACUUCGUGCAAGGAGUUUUAGGCCUUUCGAGGCUUGCUGUCAGCUUCUACUUAAAAGAUAAUCUUCAUCUUGAGCCAGCAGAGACUGCAGUUAUAUCUGGGUUCUCAGCCUUGCCAUGGUUGGUCAAGCCCCUCUACGGUUUUAUCAGUGAUUCCAUCCCUCUCUUUGGAUAUCGAAGAAGGUCGUACCUAUUUCUAUCAGGCAUCCUUGGAGCACUUUCAUGGAGUUUGAUGGCCGCUGUUGUGGAUGAUAAAUAUAGUGCAGCACUCUCUAUUAUUCUUGGAUCUCUUGCAGUUGCCAUAUCUGAUGUUGUGGUUGAUUCUAUGGUGGUUGAGAGAGCUCGAGGUGAAUCACAGAGUACAUCUGGAUCUCUCCAGUCGCUAUGUUGGGGAUCCUCAGCCUUCGGAGGAGUCGUGAGUGCAUACUUCAGUGGUUCUUUAGUGGAUACUUAUGGUGUAAGAUUUGUUUUUGGUGUUACAGCACUUCUGCCACUGAUGACAUCUGCUGUUGCAGUUCUUGUAAAUGAAGAACGCUUACCUUUGGGGAAAAGUUCAGUCUCACUUUCAGUUUCAGGUUCAGAAUUAAUUGAGAGCUCUAAGCAACGUAUCAUGCAGAUUUGGGAUUCAGUAAAGCAACCCAGCAUACUCCUACCCACCUUGUUCAUAUUCCUUUGGCAAGCAACACCGCAAUCAGACUCUGCCAUGUUUUUCUUCAUAACAAAUAAGCUCGGGUUUACUCCAGAAUUUCUAGGACGCGUUACGCUUGUCACAUCUGUUGCAUCCUUACUGGGAAUCGGAGUGUAUAAUUUGUUUCUGAAGGAAGUUCCAUUGAGGAAAAUCUUUCUUGUGACAACAGUCUUAGGUUCUGCUCUCGGAAUGACACAGGUUCUUCUUGUCACUGGGCUCAACCGGAAGCUUGGCAUAAGCGACGAAUGGUUCUCCAUUGGGGAUUCUUUGAUUAUCACAGUCCUUGGCCAGGCUUCCUUUAUGCCUGUCCUGGUGUUGGCUGCAAAGUUGUGCCCUGUGGGAGCGGAAGCAACUUUAUUUGCCACUUUGAUGUCCAUCUCUAACGCCGGAGGUGUUGCCGGAGGUCUGGUGGGCGCGGGUCUGACGCAGUUACUGGGAGUCAGCAGAGACAACUUCGAAAACCUUGCUCUGCUGAUCGCGAUUUGCAAUCUCAGUUCCCUGCUACCUCUGCCUCUUCUGGGUCUCCUGCCAGAUGAAUCCCGUAAUGCAGAUGGUGCACAGACCAAAAAUGACUGAUGCUUGUAUAUCUCCACGCGUCUUUACAAGACGAAAGGGCAUACACAUACACUCAUCGGCACAAAGCAGCGCAGCUGAUGACGUGAACAAAACAUGGAAGCUGAUGUAUAGGAUGUAUUAUCUAUGAUGUAUAAAGGAGGACAUAUCACAGACGCAGCUAAAAAAAGGCGUAUGUAACAUACUGGUAAUUGACGCGCGCCUUGCGCACGUAUAUAAUAAAAAAAAUGUGUGUGUGAGGUGGGAGUGAGACUCAGAUAGCUAAGGUAAGUCAGCAUCUGCUGUUGUUCAAUGGCAAUCUCAGCAGGCUAGCACAUCAUAAUAUGCUGGUACACGCUGAUUUGGUACGUCCGUACGUUAGUGUUUACAAUUAUUUCCAGCUCUGUUUCCAUACAUAUUCUCACUCUAGAGAUGAUCAUUUGCUUCUGCAUCUCAACAAAAAAUCAAAGAAAUAACAAUAAGUGUUAUUACACCAAUCAUCCAUUCAAGAAACUCUUUUCUAUAAAGAAAACAUGAUUAUUUCCAGAACAUGUCUGUUGUCUCAUGUCUGGUUGCAAUAUGUACGUACAUAUGGAUGCUAUUUAGAUCAGAGUGAAGCGCUAUUGUGUUCCGCAGCCCCGAAAACCAUAGUAAGCAACUUGCAUUCAAAGCAAUGGUAGUACAGGUACAAUCCAUUAAGCAAGCAGAAUCACACACUCAGGUUUGAAACUUCCUAUUUCAAACGUGAAAGCUUGUAGAGAUAUCUACGGAUGGAUGCCAUCUAUUGGAUAAAGUUUCACUUCCCCAUUUUCACAUUUUAUAGUCAUUUAUCGAACAAUCAGCAAUGUUGGGGACCUUCGGCGUCCGAAGGUCCUCAAAAACAUGAUUUAAUAGUGUUUCUGGAGUAUAAUGUGCAAACAGGUAUCUUCGGACUCGAAUCGGUAUCACAGAGGGAGAAGCUCAAAGCAUACGAAGGUUGAUACAGCACCGAAGCUGUGAGCAGAAAAGCUUCGGCAUGGUGGCAGGAAAGGAAACCGACUUAAAGAUGAAAAGGCUAUUCGGACCUCGAUGGAUUACUAUAGAGUUAUUGUCAGAUGUAAAGGGCAUAAAUGUAAUUUUGUAAGGGCUGUGUCCCGUGUCUAUAAAUAGGUGAACAGUAUCCCCGUACUGUUCACGCUGACUUGGCAUUUGCUUUUGCGUCACGCUUGUACUUUUUACCUUCUCUCAGGACCGAAGGUACAUUUGUAAUUUGAAAUCAUUUCUAUUUUUCCAUGUUAAUAAAAUAGAAAUGAUUCUAUG